GGGGGGCUGGCGCAACGGUAGCGCGUCGGAUUCCAGUCCCGAAGGUUACCGGUUCAAAUCCGGUGUCCCUCA